rnacentral:rRNA from 1 species
GACGAACGCUGGCGGCGUGCUUAACACAUGCAAGUCGAGCGGUAAGGCCCUUUCGGGGGUACGACGAGCGGCGAACGGGUGGAGUAACAACGUGGGUGACCUCGCCCUCCAGCUCUGGGAGUAAGCCUGGGAAACCGGGGUACUAAUACCGGAUAUGACUCCAUGACGCAUGUUGUGGGGUGGAAAGCCUUGUGCGGCUGAGGAUGGGCCCGCGGCCUAUCAGCUUGUUGGUGGGGUGAUGGCCUACCAAGGCGACGACGGGUAGCCGGCCUGAGAGGGCGACCGGCCACACUGGGACUGAGACACGGUCCAGACACCUACGGGU